UUGGCAGCCCUGGAAACAGCAGCCCUAUGUUUAUCCAGUCUAAUUUCAAUGCAGGCAGCUGGAGAGGAAGCUUCCCUAUACUGGCCUGCCAAUGCUUUCAACCCUGACCUGAAGAGACCCUCUCUAGGAGCAAGAUAUAAUUCAUUCUUUAUGCUAGCUUGGCCCUGGAUCUC
rnacentral:sRNA from 1 species